rnacentral:rRNA from 1 species
GACGAACGCUGGCGGCGUGCCUAACACAUGCAAGUCGAACGGAGUAUUUCUUCGGAGAUACUUAGUGGCGGACGGGUGAGUAACGCGUGAGCAACCUGCCUUUCAGAGGGGGACAACAGUUGGAAACGACUGCUAAUACCGCAUAACGUAUCGGAACCGCAUGGCUCUGAUACCAAAGAUUUUAUCGCUGAAAGAUGGGCUCGCGUACGAUUAGAUAGUUGGUGAGGUAACGGCUCACCAAGUCGACGAUCGUUAGCCGGACUGAGAGGUUGAACGGCCACAUUGGGACUGAGACACGGCCCAGACUCCUACGGGAGGCAGCAGUGAGGAAUAUUGGGCAAUGGGCGCAAGCCUGACCCAGCAAUGCCGCGUGAAGGAAGACGGUUUCGGAUUGUAAACUUCUUUUAAGAGGGACGAUAAUGACGGUACCUCUUGAAUAAGCCACGGCUAACUACGUG